rnacentral:misc_RNA from 1 species
AAGAGGCGAACAUGCGCAUCUCGUCCUCCAUCGACAAAUCCAUUAAUGCCACUUCGUUGCUGUUGCAGCUCCAUUACUUAGGUGCGGGAACGCUUGUUGUAUUAAAUUGUUGAAAGAAGAGGCAUUGUUUGAAACAUGAGCUUUAAUUUCUUGAUAAUAGAGAAAUGGAAGGUGAUGAUUUGUCGAGUUCCAAGAUUUCUCAGGCU